AUGGUAUCGUCUGUAGAAAGGUACUCUACCAUAGCCUCCACGGCCCCUUCACGUGUGAAGUCACGUGCAUUGUGACCCCACUUGCAGCACCUAAACAAAGAGUCAAAGGGAUUUUUCUCAGUGAUAAGCACAUAACACUUGGAAUCAAAGCCAACAGAAGUCAGGUCAAGAAUUGUUUAAAAGUCUUAGCUAGUGGAACUGAGUAAACAGGAGGAGGAUAAUAAUAGCUAAUUAAGAUAAAAAGACAAAGAUGGAUAAAGAUGGAUCAAGUCAAAAAUGGAUUGGCUCCCUGUGUCCCCAAGAUUGGGCUGGACGCUUAUCUGGAUUCUCUUGUCCUCUAUAACGAAGAACCGGCUCCUAAGCAGUUUUGGGUUUGUGUCACUAAAAUGUUAGCCCCCUAGGAACAGAACUGUAUGGCUAGAGCGAGCCUUAGUCUUUGUAAUUGCUGGAGUUAAGCCGCCAUUUCAUACGCCCUUUGUAAAAUUCUGGCUCUACAUUCUGGCCGUAGCUCUCAAUGCUAGCUACGGCCCUGUUAUAUUACUAAACAGAUACUAGAAAGGUUAAUACUAGCCUGAGUGUCAGGCUCCAGGCUAGUUUAAUACUAAACA